UACAGAGGUGGCAAGCGUUGUUCGGAAUUACUGGGCGUAAAGGGCGCGUAGGCGGCCCGUCAAGUCCCGUGUGAAAGCCCCCGGCUCAACCGGGGAACGGCGCGGGAAACUAGCAGGCUUGAGUUCGGGAGAGGGAAGCGGAAUUCCGGGUGUAGCGGUGAAAUGCGCAGAUAUCCGGAGGAACACCGGUGGCGAAGGCGGCUUCCUGGACCGACACUGACGCUGAGGCGCGAAGGCGUGGGGAGCGAACGGG
rnacentral:rRNA from 1 species